GUUGACCUCGGAUCAGGUAGGGAUACCCGCUGAACUUAAGCAUAUCAAUAAGCGGAGAAA
rnacentral:rRNA from 1 species